UCGGCUAACUCCGUACCAGCAGSCGCGGUAAUACGGGGGAUGCAAGCGUUAUCCGGAAUCAUUGGGCGUAAAGCGCCUGUAGGUUGYCUUAAUAAGUCUGUUGUUAAAGACUGGGGCUUAACCCCAGGAAAGCAAUGGAAACUACUAGACUAGAGUAUGAUAGGGGUAGAGGGAAUUUCUAGUGUAGCGGUGAAAUGCGUAGAUAUUAGAAAGAACACCGGUGGCGAAGGCGCUCUACUGGAUCAUUACUGACACUCAGAGGCGAAAGCUAGGGUAGCAAAAGGGAUUAGAUACCCCUGUAGUCCUAGCCGUAAACGAUGGAUACUAGAUGUUGCGUUUUAUAUGCAGUAUCGUAGCUAACGCGUUAAGUAUCCCGCCUGGGGAGUACGCUCGCAAGGGUGAAACUCAAAGGAAUUGACGGGGGCCCGCACAAGCGGUGGAGCAUGUGGUUUAAUUCGAUGCAACGCGAAGAACCUUACCAAGGCUUGACAUACUACAAAUUUCUUUGAAAAAGGAAAGUGCCUUCGGGAAUGUAGAUACAGGUGGUGCAUGGCUGUCGUCAGCUCGUGUCGUGAGAUGUUGGGUUAAGUCCCGCAACGAGCGCAACCCUUAUUUUUAGUUGCUAAUUUAGUUUAGGUUUCCUAGAAAGACUGCCGGUGACAAACCGGAGGAAGGUGAGGAUGACGUCAAGUCAGCAUGCCCCUUAUGCCUUGGGCUACACACGUGCUACAAUGGUUAAGACAAAGAGUUGCGAGCUCGUGAGAGUCAGCUAAUCUCAUAAACUUAGCCUAAGUUCGUAUUGUAGGCUGCAACUCCCUUCC
rnacentral:rRNA from 1 species